AUACGGUAGGGGGCGAGCGUUGUCCGGAAUUACGUGGGCGUAAAGGGUGCGUAGGUGGUCCUUUUAAGUUGGAUGUGAAAUACCCGGGCUUAACCUGGGGGGUGCAUCUAAUACUGGGAGGCUAGAGUGCAGGAGAGGAAAGCGGAAUUCCUAGUGUAGCGGUGAAAUGCGUAGAUAUUAGGAGGAACACCAGUGGCGAAGGCGGCUUUCUGGACUGUAACUGACACUGAGGCACGAAAGCGUGGGGAGC
rnacentral:rRNA from 1 species